rnacentral:rRNA from 1 species
AGAGUUUGAUCAUGGCUCAGGAUGAACGCUAGCGGCAGGCUUAAUACAUGCAAGUCGUGGGGCAGCACAAAUAGCAAUAUUGGGUGGCGACCGGCAAACGGGUGCGUAACACGUACGCAACCUUCCCGUUACUGGGGAAUAGCCCAGGGAAACUUGGAUUAAUACCCCAUAUUAUAUAGAUCAGGCAUCUGGUUUAUAUCAAAGCUUCGGCGGUAACGGAUGGGCGUGCGGUUGAUUAGGUAGUUGGCGGGGUAACGGCCCACCAAGCCUACGAUCAAUAGCUGAUGUGAGAGCAUGAUCAGCCACACGGGCACUGAGACACGGGCCCGACUCCUACGGGAGGCAGCAGUAAGGAAUAUUGGGCAAUGGACGCAAGUCUGACCCAGCCAUGCCGCGUGAAGGAUGAAGGUCCUCUGGAUUGUAAACUUCUUUUAUCUGGGGCGAAAAUCGGGUAUUCUUAUCCGCUUGACAGUACCAGAGGAAUAAGCACCGGCUAACUCCGUGCCAGCAGCCGCGGUAAUACGGAGGGUGCAAGCGUUAUCCGGAUUCACUGGGUUUAAAGGGUGCGUAGGUGGGCAGGUAAGUCAGUGGUGAAAUCCCCGAGCUUAACUUGGGAACUGCCGUUGAUACUAUCUGUCUUGAAUAUCGUGGAGGUUAGCGGAAUAUGUCAUGUAGCGGUGAAAUGCAUAGAGAUGACAUA